rnacentral:ncRNA from 1 species
GCAAAGAUAAAAACACAACGUAUGGUGUUACCAUACAGACCCGGUAGGUAGUCCGGGCGUAAACAGAUUCUCACGGAUGCUGUUUAUAAGUAACCUUCCUCCUUAGGUCGUCCAUUCUUUGUCC